rnacentral:tmRNA from 1 species
GGGGCUGCAAUGGUCUCGACGGGGAUAGAUGGUGUAAGAAUAGCGAGCCCCGGGGUCAUCGAACCGGGUUAGUAAGGUGAAAUUGCUUAAAUAUAAAAGCAAACGAAGAUUACGCUCUGGCCGCUUAAGGCCGGCCUCCUACGUCCGACUUCCCGCUAGGGCGGGUGGAGGUCAAAGCGGGAUACCGCAUUGUGAAUGUGAUGUAGCAGUGCUGGGAAAUUUACAUCGCUCGGUUUGAGGGAGGUUGCCGGUGGGCUCCUGAUAACUUAAAGCUGAUCAUCAGGCUGCGCUCGGAGAAGUUUUUGCAACAAUAUUUUCGGACAGGAGUUCGAUUCUCCUCAGCUCCACCA